CAAUGCUUUUAAUUACACAACAACGAUACACUGUAUGACUAUUAAAGACCACACAUAUACUUCAAAAGUCACAAGACCACAACUGUACAGUGAGCAACCUCGCACCCAGGGCUAGUCGCGAACUAUGUCGCCGCCUUCAAUUCGCGACUAGCCCUGGGUACGAGGUUGUACAGUGAGUGCGGGCUGUCCGGUAUGUACUAUUUAAAACGCGAGCAGGAGUGCUUUAUCAGAUAUAAAACACGUGAGCGCAGCUCGAAUGUUUUAUCUGAUAAAGCACGGACUUUUAAAUGGCUAGUAAACAUAAAAGCCCGGUUCACAUAUACCUACUUACACCUGCGGUAUGUCGGCGGGCUAUUGACAGCAACUGCUCUGAACAAUGAUAGCGCAGGUAUACCGCAGGCAUAUAUGUGAACCAGGCUAAAGAAAGAGUAAAGUAAAGUGCUUAGCUGAUAUUUUACUUCGCUUGAAUAUACUUCUUCGCCAAAUUGCCUUUCUUUUGAUUUUACUGAAGUGAAGUCGAUCGUUUAAGAACUGAAUAUCGAAUAACAUGGUCAUGGAGCAAAACUUGCAUCCAAGGACGUCAAAUUAAAGCCACGUUACUUCGAAAACUACAGGGUGUAUCAAAAAACCUGCAAACACUAUAAUUUGCAUAAUUCUGCUGCUUACCAGCAUUUCAAUGUUUGUGCUGCUUAUUUUGAUCCUGGGAUUUGAAAAUACAUUCUAACUAACCGCGUUGAUAGAAAUUAGAAUAACAAAAAGUUAUUUGUAACGCAAACAACUAAUUAUCAGUUCGACUGCGAAUGUCAACUAUUGCGGUGUUUACGCAUGCUUGGGAUCAAUUAGUUCAAUCACCAUCUAUAGAAAUUAUCCUAUUGUUGUUAAGCCCAGGAUUUUUCAUGCUCCUGGUAAUUAAAAAUUCAAUUCAAUUGUGUUUACGCGCUCUUGUGUUCAGCAUAGUGCUCGGGCAUUCAAAUUAUAACAAUAUGAUAAUUUCUAUAGAGGGUACUUUUUUAGAGGACACCCUGUACUUCAAAGGUUUUCAGGUUUUUUGAUGCACCCUGUAGAGUUGAGGACAUUGUUUUUAAUGUUUCGACACAUGCAAUAACAAAAGCAUGAUCAAUUAUAAAAAAUAUUCAUUGCACAUACUUCAAUCCCAUGCACGAUCCUACUGACUUGCCCCGGCUGCGUUGCAUGCUUAAACAAUGCCCAUGCAUAAAUUAAACUAUGUUGUGUACGCACUGAGUACAGGGUGUCUCAAAAAAACCGCUACCCUUGGAAAUUCACCAUUGUUCUAAUUUGAAUGCCUGAGUGCUAUCUUGAACU